rnacentral:rRNA from 1 species
UACGGAGGGUGCGAGCGUUGUCCGGAAUCACUGGGCGUAAAGGGCGCGUAGGCGGCGCAGGAAGUCAUCGGUGAAAGUUCAGGGCUCAACUCUGAAUCGGCCGGUGAUACUCUCGUGCUUGAGCACUGUAGAGGCAGGUGGAAUUCCGGGUGUAGCGGUGGAAUGCGUAGAGAUCCGGAAGAACACCGGUGGCGAAGGCGGCCUGCUGGGCAGUAGCUGACGCUGAUGCGCGACAGCGUGGGGAGCAAACAGG